UGAUCUGUAUUUUAGUAGAGAUAUUAUAUGAAAGACUUGAUUUGUUUACCAAAUAAGUGGAUCUAAUUGGAUUUGCAAUGUAAACAUUAAAUAAAAGUUUAAAUAUUUUAUUAUUAUUUUUAAUUAAAUAAAUUACGUUUUUAGUUACGGUAAAUGUGUGUGAUUCUGUCUGGCACUAGCUAUAGGGUAUGCUUUUAAUUUAAACUUUGCAAUAUGUUUGAAUGAGUUUUGUUGCAGUUACACUGUGUUGGCCACUGGCUGUGCUGUUUCCAACACUUUGAAAUCGUUAAUUGAUUCAAGUGUUUCUUCACUAGUUUUUACACCAAAUAAUAGUUUGCAUCAUAUGCCAUGUGUAGGCCCCCAUGGAAACUGCGCACACAGUAAUCCGCAGAUUUCUAGCCAAUCAUUGAGUCUGUUUAUUUACUUGUGUUAAUUUAUAUUAAUUCAGUUUUUUAAAUUAAUUUCAGUAUUAAUAUUGACUGAUAUGAAAAUGUUC
rnacentral:lncRNA from 1 species